AGCUCUCUCAGCCUGUCCUCACAGCAUCUCGGUGGCCUCCUCUGGCCCUGCUCCAACGGGUCCAUGUCCUUCUGCUGUUGGUGGCCCCAGAGCUGGAGGCAGCACUUGGUGGGGGGGAUCUCCCCAGAGCAAAGCAGAGGGGGAGAAUCCCCUCCCUCAACCUUCUGGCCACUCUUCUUCUGAUGCAGCCCAAGAUGCGGGAGGCUUUCUCAGCUACCAGCACACACUGCUGGGCCACGUGGAGCUUUUCACCCCCCAACACUCCCAAGUCCUUCUCCUCGGGGCUGGUCUCCAUCCCUUCACCCCCCAGCCUGGAUUUGUGCUCAGGAUUGCCCUGACCCACCUGCAGGACCUUGCUCUUGGCCUGGUUGAACUUCCUGAGAUUCACAUGAGGUUCACCUCAAGCCUGUCCGGGUCCUUCUGGAUGCCAUCCCGUCCCUCCAGCAUGUUGACCCCCCUCUACUUCUUGAGGUGGGGUGGAACACAGAGGACACUCUUUCUCCCUGACAGGACCUGGCUGAGGUGUGCAAGCGGGACGGCGCCGAGCGGGACGGGAAGGACGUGGACCGGGUGGUGGGCUUGGGCAGCUCCAGCGGCAGCGCCGGCCGGGUGAUGCUCUCCAAGGAGGACAAGGAGGCGGCCAAGAUGGGGCUCUCCAUCUUCACGGUACGGCGCCGGCGUGGGGUCACGUCUCCUCUGUGAGGUUUGAAAAAAAAAAAAAGGAUGGAAAAAAGGCAAAAAUCCCUUUAAUUAAAAAGCAAAGCAGGUGGUGGUAGCGCAGAGACCUCCAAGAGCUCCCAGUGUCCUGCCUGCGCAGCGUUAAUUUGCGGGGUUUUAAUUAGGAAUCAGCUCUUGCAGGUAUUUAGACAUUUUUCCAAAUGUAAUUUCGAUGUCAGGUGGGGUGGUUUUUUUCACAAUUUCCUUUUUUUUAAAGGGAGAAAGUCCCCCUUUUUCUCGUAAUUCGAAGCUACGAGCUCAAAAGUCACUCCGUAUUUUUUCCCCCUUUUCCAACCCCAGCACCAGAAAGUCUCCAGCAGCCCCGAGAUGUCCAGCUCCAAGAAGAAGCAGGAGAAGGAGGAGAAGGUGGAGGAGAAACGACCGGAGAGCGGCAAGAAAUCCAAAAAGGAGAAGAAGAAAAAGAAGAAGAAGAAACACAAGAAGGAGAAGAAGAAGGACAAGCACCACAAGAGGGAUGCUUCCCCCUCGUCUUCCGAUUCUUCUCCGGAGCGGGAUGAGAGGCACCACCGAAGGAAAACCCAGCAGCGCCCCAAGACCUCGCGUCACGGCGGGCGGCGGCGGCGGCACGACACGGAUUCCUCUGCCAGCAGCCGGGAUUCGGGCCGGAGCCCCUCGCCCCGUCCUGCCCGUCGGAGGAGCCGGAGCCGCGACGGCCGCGGUCACCACCCGUCCCCGCGCCGCAAGGGGAGGAAGAGGAGCAGGAGCCGGUCCCCUCCGUCCCGCGGGGUCCGACAACGCCACGACACCGAUUCCGAGGACUGAGAGGGAACCUACGGAGCUUUGGUUUGGUUGGUUGGUUGGUUUGUUUUUUUUUUCCCAGAGAGAUGUCACGCAGGCUAGAUAUUUUUUUAAGGUUAUUAAAUUAAAAACGCCGCAGCUUUGCGGUUGCCGGGGUUGAGCCCAGCGAAGGGCAUUCGGUUUUGCGGUGCCAGCUGCCCCUCCCCUGCCCGCAGCUCUUGCUCUUCAAGCUGGGGUGGCACCAGCAGCUCCCGCCGGGGGUGGGUCCCAUCCGUGGAGGCACCCGGGCACCCUUCUCGCUUCCUGGAUCCAUCCAUCCCGGUGGGAUUUAGCUCGGAGGACGGUGUGAGGUGGGUGCUGGCGCUGGGACGGGCCCGGCUGCGACGCUGGAAAUGCUGCGGAUGCCUCGGGUUUGUGUAAAGAGACUUUGGAUGCAGUUAUUAUGAUGAUGAUGAUGAUGAGUUUUUUUAAGUAUCUUCUUUCAGUGCCCUCGAGCAGCUGCCAGCGAAGCAGCUGGAGGGGACCUUCUUUCCUCCAAACCCUCCCUGAAGUCCAUCAGCCGCAAAAUAAAACCGGGGGUUUGUGCGCUGCCGGGAGGGUU
rnacentral:lncRNA from 1 species